AGUGCACCCAGCACUCCUUGGUCCAGUCUACACACACAAAUUGCUGGGGAAAGUAGGGCUUUUGUAGUCCAAGAUCAAAUCUGCUUACUCAUUUCUCUAACAAUAAAACAAUGAACAGGGUGGUGAUGCAAUGACUACUGCAAUUGACACAAGAUAAUAUCACCAAGGCAACUAUCCGUAAACAAACAACAAACAUCCAUAAAAAUAGCAAAAGUAGUUUCUUUCCCAAGUAGGUUUUAUCUUAAAUAAUUGCAAGCACAGUAAAUAAAGAUCCACUUGUGAGAUACCUGUGGUUCAGUGCUUUACAGUAAUCAGACGUUUCGUCGCUAAAGAGCUUAGUCAUCGAGCUUUGUAGUAAAUAAUAUACAAGAGAAGACAGUAUGUAAAUGACUUAAAGCAGGGGUAUAUCUGUCCCCAUCUGCAUUUUUCCAUUGGGAGGAGCAUAGAAAGAUGACAAUAUUCUUCAGUUAAACCUCCUUCUCGUUUCUCUGGCAGACCCUCUAAACUUCCUGAAACCCAGGAACGCUGAGACCCACACACCUUAUGUUUUCCAGACAGUCUCCUUAUAAGCUACUCAGAAUGUAAAGGCAGCCCACAGUCCCCAAGUUUCUCCCAGACCUCAGAAGAGUGUGCUCAUCUCUUACAACUCUGAUCCUAAGCUUGAAGUUUCACACACACUUACUUCAGUGGUCAGAUUGGUCAA